UGAGCCAGGAUCAUGCCACUGUACUCCAGCCUGGGCAACAGAGUAAGACUCCGUCCCAAAAGGAAAAAAAAAAAGGAAAUGACUAGGAAGUACUUAGCUACUGAGGAGAUUCUUCCUAGAUCAUAAACAUUAACCUCAGGAAG